CUCUUAUUUCGAGCAGGCUGAGGGAUAUGGCCCUAUGACGCCCAGCAACCGACUGUAAUACCAUUGUGAAAUGGGGCGCAAAUUAUUGCGCUUAGUAAGGCACGGUGCUACUUCCAUCAAAGGUACAAGUGACUUUUGAAAGAUAAGAG
rnacentral:ncRNA from 3 species